rnacentral:rRNA from 1 species
GAGUUUGAUCGUGGCUCAGGAUGAACGCUGGCGGCGUGCCUAAUACAUGCAAGUCGAGCGAACGGACGAGAAGCUUGCUUCUCUGAUGUUAGCGGCGGACGGGUGAGUAACACGUGGAUAACCUACCUAUAAGACUGGGAUAACUUCGGGAAACCGGAGCUAAUACCGGAUAAUAUUUUGAACCGCAUGGUUCAAAAGUGAAAGACGGUCUUGCUGUCACUUAUAGAUGGAUCCGCGCUGCAUUAGCUAGUUGGUAAGGUAACGGCCUACCAAGGCAACGAUGCAUAGCCGACCUGAGAGGGUGAUCGGCCACACUGGAACUGAGACACGGUCCAGACUCCUACGGGAGGCAGCAGUAGGGAAUCUUCCGCAAUGGGCGAAAGCCUGACGGAGCAACGCCGCGUGAGUGAUGAAGGUCUUCGGAUCGUAAAACUCUGUUAUUAGGGAAGAACAUAUGUGUAAGUAACUGUGCACAUCUUGACGGUACCUAAUCAGAAAGCCACGGCUAACUACGUCG